AAUUUCGAGUUUGCUUUGGAGCAUCGCUUGAGAAGUUCCCCUGGCCAAUCAGAGGAGUGGAUUGCUCGGCUUAUCACUGGAGGGGGAAGCAACGAGUUGGUGAGGAAUGAGAGUGCGUUUCGUCGGAUUAUUCGGGCUGUGUGCUCUGUGAAGUAUGGAAUAAAAGUUUGUGUCAUCGAAUCAAAUUGGGUUCUCUCUGCUCUCCCACCCGGCUAAUCGCCAACCUUAACAUGGUGCCGAAACUUCGGCGAACCCUUGAGGACUGAAUAACCUGAUAUCGAGUUUCCAACCUCGUCAUGGACUUCUCACUGGUGGCCUAAAUCCGAAUCCCGACUUCGUGAUGGACAUUCCAACGGCAGCUAAAUUCCAAUUCUCAACCUCAGAAUGGGCAUGAUCUCAACUCGACUACCCACCACACUUCUAACCUUAACCAGAAACUGUCAUUUGUACACACUCUUGCUGAUCUAGUUUCUGGGAACGAUUCUACACUCUGGGAAGACCGCAGACUCCUUUUAUCAGCUCAAACUACUCCAGCACCUCAAUUCAAGCUGUUAAUAUGGGCUUAUCACUGUUUACCUCAACAUCAUGCAAAGAGUCCUGCUUAUCUCAACCUCAACACAUCUUCACAAACAACUCUUAAUCUAGAUGGAUAUCUUCCUCUUCACGCUAAAUUAUCUUGCAAUCCGUUGUCAAUCAAUCUUACCUUAUUUUGUAGAAUCGUCCCCUAGAAACAGUAGAUUGUUAACUUGUAUCUUAUCAUAAUUGUUAAUUGUCAUAACAAAGACAGAAAAACACUCUCAUUCUAAAACCAUCCUUUAUUACGUUUCACUUGCUCACAAAAAACAUGCUUAACUUUAACAAAAUUUUGCGCUUCAAAAGAAAAACUUAAACUCUCAUCCAUCUUAGUCGUCGGAGGUCCUCCUCUCCCAACAAGGGGGGAUGUCAAGUAUAGCGACUCCCUGACGUUGCUUGCCUCUCCUUUGUUCAGUUGGCACGGCUGCUCUGUUGGCCGGGGAAAUUUCGAGUUUGCUUUGGAGCAUCGCUUGAGAAGUUCCCCUGGCCAAUCAGAGGAGUGGAUUGCUCGGCUUAUCACUGGAGGGGGAAGCAACGAGUUGGUGAGGAAUGAGAGUGCGUUUCGUCGGAUUAUUCGGGCUGUGUGCUCUGUGAAGUAUGGAAUAAAAGUUUGUGUCAUCGAA